rnacentral:lncRNA from 1 species
ACUAUGGACUAUCUUUGGUCACUCUCUCAAUGGUGAUAGAAUGUGGAACAUGAAUUUGUGUUCUUAAUUUUGGGGUACUUGUAAGUUGUAACUCCUUUCUAUCUGGUCUCGAAAUUGAAAUCGAUCUAUCUUUCACCAAUGAGAUCGAAGUACACUAACACCUUUUUCCAUGAUAGAAAGCCCUUCCAUUCUAACGGUGUUUGCACUCAAAAGAAAGACAAAAAAAAAUAAAAAUGAUACUGUGAAAAAAGACUCUUGAAAUUCAAGAUGCUGUGCGAGUAACAUGGCAACACCAUAUUUAUAGCCUCUUAAACAGCCAAAAUCCCAUAAGAUCAGCUCAAAAUCAGAAAAAAUCCUG